CUUCCUGGUUCCGCAGCGAGCGACCCAAUGGUCGCCGCCGCCACCGUCGGUGGCCAGCUGUUCAGAAGUCCAAGACUGAAUGCUCAGGAAGACUAAAGUAUUCUGGAAAAAUAGGCUUGAUAAGAGGAUUGCCUAAAUUUGAAAAAUGUCUCCACAUAAUAGGAAAACUCCACUAUGUCCUCACUACUGCACCUUUCCAAAGGAAUUGUUAUAGGCAAGUACACUGCUUUUAAUUUAUGAUUUUCAAUGUUCUGAGGAGGAAACAAUGGUAUCAAUUCCCUUUACUCUUGUCUCCCUGAAUACAAUUUACCACAUUGCUGUGUGGAGGGUGCAUAUAAAAAAAGAGAAGCUUUUCGGUGUGUUACAAAGAAAAAUAAUUGAUUUCCCCCCUUCUUUGUGUGCUAGUGAAGCUUUGCACUUUAUAAGCCUAGAUUCAGCCUAGUGAGAGAAGGAAAAUUAUGAGAUCAGAAAAAAGAGUAGCAAAUGACUAUAGAGGCAGAGUGCUGAAUAUUGGUGGAAGGACCAAGGUACGAUAAUGGAAGAUGAGAGAACAUAAUUUUCUGAUGUUAACAUAGCAAAGGGUGCAUUCAUACUGCACAGUAAUAGUCAUUUGAUAGUACUUUAACUGCCAUAGCAUCGUUCACUGGAAACCUGUUGUUUGGUGAAAUCCCUAGACAGCUCCACUCAAAAGCUGUAGUACAGCACCUCAAACUAUAGGAGUACCAUUGCAUAGUACAGAAUAACAUAUUAUCUUACAACACCACAAUGGUGGCAUGUCAAUUAAAGUAAGAUUUAACUGCAAUAUUUGCAUGAUGUUAAUAUGUCCUAAGAUAACCUAAAUAUGAGCCAAUAGUUCCCUGAAAUGGACGGAGAGAAUGGGUCAUGUUGACCAAGCCACCAGUUGCCUUGUAGAAAUGACAGACCACACAAAUGGUGACUCCAUUGAGCAGAGCCUGCCAACAAUCCCAUAAACUUCUGAGGCACUCACAUGGAGGUCAUAAUCAAGUGUAACCCACUGCUAAGUCUCAUGUAGACUAUAAAUGUAUGAGGUAAAAACAGACUAAACAUAUAGAAUAUAAAAGUAUAAACCCUGCUGUUAAAGCCAGCAAUUUACAUUUGUUUUCAUGUCUAAAAAUGCAAUGUGUUUGUAAAUCUAUUUGUUAAUUCCAUUGUAAAAUGUUCAGUUCCCUAAAAACAUGACAACAUUAUUAAAUGGCUUAGAGAUUUACUAGUGUUUCCAUUGUCUCUGCUGGAUGUACACAAGCUGAUCUAAUGUGUUAAUUGUUUAGAGUCAGGUCCUUUUGCAAAACUACUGUUGUAUCCUUUUUUAUUACUGUUAAAACCCUCUCUAUGUGGGUGGUAAAUGAUAUUAUGCAGUUACCGCCAUGCCAGCUGGCCACCUAAGUGUCUCACUGUGUGUGUUCAACUUUGUUCAGUUCUGUAUGACAAGAAACAGGGCGGUGACCCCUGUGAUACUUCUGCUUGUAAAUGUAAGCUAGCCUAUAAAAAUGACUGUGAUUCCAUCAACAGUUGGUUGUUCAGUGAAAUAUUCUUUGCUGUGUUAUUUACUGUUCAUGGUCACUGAAAAUGAUUUUGAGAAGAAUGAAAUUUGUUUUCUCUUGGUUACUGAAAGAUGCCAUAGUCAACCACAAAGGAAAACUUGAUUUUAUUUCAGCUGAGGGUUCAAUUAAGUCUGUCUUAUCAUCUUUAUUCAUAUUCCUGAAGCUAUUUUUACCCCUCUUGGGGGGACAAUGUGAAUCUUUUGACUUUAUAUGGGAUUAGAGGCAUGGUUGGAUCAGUUUAUAUUACAUACCGUAACUUUUUAAAGGUUUAAUAAUAAGUUAUGCCCCCCAUGUCAGUGAUUCAUAAUUUCUCACAAAAAUAUAUUCUUACGCAAUAAUAUGUGCAAUACUGUUUUGAUAAUAGUGUUAGUAUUAUCUAUGUAGCCUCACAGAGAAUUAUAAUGGAAAGUAUUUAGAAGAGAAAAGA